rnacentral:rRNA from 1 species
GACGAACGCUGGCGGCGUGCUUAACACAUGCAAGUCGAACGGAAAGGCCCUGCUUUUGUGGGGUGCUCGAGUGGCGAACGGGUGAGUAACACGUGAGUAACCUGCCCUUGACUUUGGGAUAACUUCAGGAAACUGUGGCUAAUACCGGAUAAGAGCACCUGUUGCAUGGUGACGGUUGGAAAGUUUCGGCGGCUGGGGUUGGACUUGCGGCUUCUCAGCUUGUUGGUGGGGUUGUGGCUUAGCCAGGCCUGGACGGGUAGCCGGACUGGGAGGGUGACCGGCCCCAUUGUGCUUGGGAUGGGACCCAGACUCCUACGGGAGCCAGCGGUGGAGAUUAGUCCACGAUGGGCGGAAGCAUGAUGCAGCAUCGCCGCAUGCGGGAUGACGGCCGUCGGGUUGUAACCCGCUUUCGCCUGUGACGAAGCGUGAGUGACGGUAAUGGGUAAGGAAGCACCGGCUAACUACGUG